rnacentral:rRNA from 1 species
AUUGAACGCUGGCGGCAUGCUUUACACAUGCAAGUCGAACGGCAGCACGGGCUUCGGCCUGGUGGCGAGUGGCGAACGGGUGAGUAAUAUAUCGGAACGUACCCAGAAGUGGGGGAUAACGUAGCGAAAGUUACGCUAAUACCGCAUACGAUCUAUGGAUGAAAGCAGGGGACCGCAAGGCCUUGUGCUCCUGGAGCGGCCGAUAUCUGAUUAGCUAGUUGGUGAGGUAAAGGCUCACCAAGGCGACGAUCGGUAGCUGGUCUGAGAGGACGACCAGCCACACUGGAACUGAGACACGGUCCAGACUCCUACGGGAGGCAGCAGUGGGGAAUUUUGGACAAUGGGCGCAAGCCUGAUCCAGCAAUGCCGCGUGAGUGAAGAAGGCCUUCGGGUUGUAAAGCUCUUUUGUCAGGGAAGAAACGGUAGAGGCUAAUAUCCUUUGCUAAUGACGGUACCUGAAGAAUAAGCACCGGCUAACUACGUG